rnacentral:misc_RNA from 1 species
UUAAGUUCAGCGGGUAUCCCUACCUGAUCCGGGGUCAAAAUUGUGAAGAUAGCUUCUGGGAGCUGAUCCAUCGGGAUCGAGUUCGCGUUUCUGCUGCGCUCGAAGCCAAUGUACCGGCCGCCAAUAAUUUUGAGGCGAGUCCGCACCCCGAGAGGCGGGACAGUCACCCAACACAAGCUGAGCUUGAAGGUUUAAAUGAC